AACGCGACCUCAGCUCAGGCGGGGCUACCCGCUGAGUUUAAGCAUAUCAAUAAGCGGAGGAAAAGAA
rnacentral:rRNA from 1 species